rnacentral:rRNA from 1 species
UCAGGCCUAACACAUGCAAGUCGUACGAGAGUUUUUAACUCUAGUGGCGGACGGGUGAGUAACACGUGAGAAUUUGCCUUUAGGAGGGGGACAACAAUUGGAAACGAAUGCUAAUACCCCAUAUGCUUUCGAGUGAAAUGGAUUUUAUCCGCCUAGAGAGAAGCUCGCGGCUGAUUAGCUUGUUGGUAAGGUAAGAGCUUACCAAGGUGACGAUCAGUAUCUGGUUUGAGAGGACGAUCAGACACACUGGAACUGAGACACGGUCCAGACUCCUACGGGAGGCAGCAGUGGGGAAUUUUCCUCAAGAGGCGAAAGCCUGACGGAGCAA